CCUCCAUAGGAUGUGUGUGUGUCUCUCUCUCUCCCUCCAUAGGAUGUGUGUGUGUCUCUCUCUCUCCCUCCAUAGGAUGUGUGUGUGUCUCUCUCUCUCCCUCCAUAGGAUGUGUGUGUGUCUCUCUCUCUCCCUCCAUAGGAUGUGUGUGUGUCUCUCUCUCUCUCCCCAUAGGAUGUGUGUGUGUCUCUCUCUCUCUCCCUCCAUAGGAUGUGUGUGUGUCUCUCUCUCUCCCUCCAUAGGAUGUGUGUGUGUCUCUCUCUCUCCCUC